UGGCGAAAACUGCUGUAUAAUUGGCAAUUCUAACACAAACCAGAUGACGUGGCAUAAAUCAAUUGGUUAUAACACAAACAAAACCAGCUUGCACUUCCGCCCAAAUUGGAGAACUCUGAACACACACAGCAGAGUAACUUGGCGGUUUGAUCACCCACCAAUAACUCCCUGUCAUCGGCGGUCCCGACGUACCCAAACCCCCCCCUGCAGGCUCGUCAGCUCGGUCACAGCAUCUCUUUCGUCACGCAUGGUCGAUUGUAACCAGAUACGUAUGCUCGGUUGUAACUAAAGCAAGUUUGCUACCUGCAUCGUAUUUCAUCCUGAGGCGGCAUGGUGGCUGCUCACACUCAGUGUAAUGAAGAAAACUGAUUCUUCCUGAUAAUGUCAAAGAGGAAGGGAUCAGGGAGGAGGAUCAUCACAGAAAAUGCAAUGACUGGAGGAAAGAGCUUCACUCUCACCCCUGCAAUGGUUCACUAUGUCAUAUUCAGUGAUCAAGUAGGUGAAGAAACAUACAUGGCUACUGCUUAUAACAACAUAUUGGUGUUUGUUCAAAAGGAGUUCAUUUUCUAGAACAUUCAAUCCAGCUCUUUUCAAGGACAAUGAUUUCCCUGGAUACAUGUAAAAAAUAGAAGAAAUCAAGGCUUUGUGCACCAUAUGUGGAUUGGCUUCAGGUCAUUUGAAUUAUGAGUGAAAUGAUCAUUACACAACACACUGGAGUUACUGGGAUCAUAAGUUUUCUACCUGGGAGACUCCUAUCCUGGGACCCUUUGAGAUAUGUGGGGAGCCGGAGAAGCAAGGGCAACAUUGGACCCCUGCUAAACCAGAAGGGACAACUGACAACCAAUGCCCAGGAAAAAAACAACCUACUAAAUGGAUACUUUACAUCCGUCUUUCAUCAAUCCCUUGGGAUGCCCCUGCUCUUUAUGGGACAGGGAGGCCCAGGUGAAGGAAAUUCCUUGCCCUUUAUCAAUGCUGACCUUGUGAAGGAACACCUUGAGAGGCUGGACACCUUCAAGUCAGCUGGCCCUGAUGGUUUACACCCCAGGGUAUUCAAGGAGCUGGCUAGCAUCAUAGCUCGGCCCCUGGCACGGAUCUUUGAGAACUCCUGGUGCUCUGGUGGAUCCUUAGGCCUAUCCCACACUGGUUCCACCCACUCCCCCAGCCCCCAUCAUCUCUAUCCUGCCUGGCCCCACCCACCGCCUGCCCCUCUGACACCCCCAAUGCACUUCCCAGGUUUUUUUCUGUGUUUUUUUCUGUUUCUUUUUUUUUUUUUAAGUGAUGGUGCCUAGGGUUGUGGGGGUAGCCAUGGGGCCCUGGGAGUGCAAGAGGGGGGGGGAGUCUGGGUGGGGCAGCCAUUGGAGGGUCUGGGGGAGCAGGGGGUGGGGCAGCCAUCAGGGGGGCUGCAGCAGCUGGUGGGGGAUGGGACCAGGUGGGGCAGCAAUCAGGGGGCUGGGGUGGGACAUGUGGGCCUGGCAGGGGGGUGGCCUCUGUGGGGGCCAUUUGCCCCCUGUUGGGAGGCUGUACCCCUUGUGUGUGGGCCAUCCCCUUUUGGGGGCUGUAGCCCUUGUGUGGGGGCCGAACCCCCUGUUGGGGGGGGGCAUAGGUCUUGUGUGGAAGCCAAAUCUCUGUUGGAUGGCUGAACCCCCUGUUGGGGUGCUGUAGCCCUUGUGUGGGGACUGAAUCCCCUGUUGGGGGCCAUAAACCCUGUGUGGGGGCCAUAGCCCCUGUGGGAAGGCAGCAAAAUAUAUAUUUAUGAAUUA